rnacentral:tRNA from 1 species
GGUGUUAUCAUGUUGUAGUUUAUCAUGUUAGUCUUACACACUGAAGGUCCCUAGUUCGAACCUGGGUAGCAUCA